rnacentral:rRNA from 1 species
UACGUAGGGUGCAAGCGUUGUCCGGAAUUAUUGGGCGUAAAGAGCUCGUAGGCGGUUUGUCGCGUCUGCUGUGAAAGCCCGGGGCUCAACCCCGGGUCUGCAGUGGGUACGGGCAGACUAGAGUGCAGUAGGGGAGACUGGAAUUCCUGGUGUAGCGGUGAAAUGCGCAGAUAUCAGGAGGAACACCGAUGGCGAAGGCAGGUCUCUGGGCCACUACUGACGCUGAGAAGCGAAAGCAUGGGGAGCGAACAGG